CCUGAGACGUUGGAUUUGAACCAUCACGCGGCAAAAUAACGUUUGUCUGGAUUUGGUUUGAAGCGUUAAUGCAGAGACUGCCAAGCAGGAAGUGCACUUCACGCUCCCGCUCAAGGUUCUGUCAGAGUUCUUUCGCUUAACCAGCAAAAACCUCAAAAUCGAGUUUUUCAAAGAACUGGACAAAUACACUCCUCGCUGUCUUGACAUUUCCAAGUCCAAGGGUGGAUGUACCGGCCAGAUACUUAAGGCAUAUU